GACAGAGGAGGCAAGCGUUGUCCGGACUUACUGGGCGUAAAGCGUCCGCAGGUGGUCGUGCAAGUGCCGUGUGAAAGCGCUCGGCUUAACUGAGCGAGGCCAUGGCAGACUGCUCGACUCGAGACCGGAGAGGUCGGUGGAAUUGCCGGUGUAGUGGUGAAAUUCGUAGAUAUUCGCAAGAACACCAGUGGCGAAGGCGGCUCACUGGCCCAUUACUGACGCUGAGGCACGAAAGCGUGGGGAGCAAACAGGAUUAGAU
rnacentral:rRNA from 1 species